rnacentral:rRNA from 1 species
AGUGAACGCUGGCGGUAGGCCUAACACAUGCGAGUCGAACGGCAGCACAGUAAGAGCUUGCUCUUACGGGUGGCGAGUGGCGGACGGGUGAGGAAUACAUCGGAAUCUACUUUUUCGUGGGGGAUAACGUAGGGAAACUUACGCUAAUACCGCAUACGACCUACGGGUGAAAGCAGGGGAUCUUCGGACCUUGCGCGAUUGAAUGAGCCGAUGUCGGAUUAGCUAGUUGGCGGGGUAAAGGCCCACCAAGGCGACGAUCCGUAGCUGGUCUGAGAGGAUGAUCAGCCACACUGGAACUGAGACACGGUCCAGACUCCUACGGGAGGCAGCAGUGGGGAAUAUUGGACAAUGGGCGCAAGCCUGAUCCAGCCAUACCGCGUGGGUGAAGAAGGCCUUCGGGUGGUAAAGCCCUUUUGUUGGGAAAGAAAAGCAGCAGGUUAAUACCCCGCUGUUCUGACGGUACCCAAAGAAUAAGCACCGGCUAACUUCGU